rnacentral:piRNA from 1 species
UGGAGUUGGAGAGUACGGGGCAG